CGACUGAGGAAUCGGGGUUCAGUUCCCGGCAAGUUCAAGACAAUUUUAGCUCCUCCACUGCACCCAGAUCGGCUUUGAAGUCCGCCCAACCAACUUUUCAGUGGUCAUGGGAACUGUUUCCUCGGAGUGACCUGGCCGAAGGGUGAAGCUGACCACACUUCCCUGAAUGUAGUACCGAGGUUAAGAGUGCAUGGAGUUAUACCUCCACUUAUUCAGACAUCUUAAUGGCGGGUGCUUAACUAAACAAAGGAACAGCUUUACCUAAUACCCGAAUCGAAUUUCGACAACAAGGGAAGAUAAUAAUUGAUCAAAUAAUUGGUUUAACAGCGCGAAACCACCCAAACCGUCUUUAAAGAUUCGUUUUUUUUAACUCAUAGAAAAUACUGGAUCUCCACUAUAAAACUAACAGGUUAAAGGUUUCUAGGGAAAUAGUCGUUUUUUUACUGUGAGAAUAAUAUAAAACGUGCAUAUUCACUUUGUGGGCAAGAUGAAGAGAGUUAUAUAAUAUUAUAGUAUGCGGGCUCAUGUAAUAGUCACUUCCCAUUGCAAUAAUUAUUCACGACCAUUAAACACGUUCAACAAAUUAAACUGAAGCAUAGAAAUUAUCAUAUACUCAUAUAUUGCAGGGGGAAUACAUAUAACGCUUUAGGGAGCGACAGGUUUCUCUUCAGGUAAAUUACUGCUGGUCGUCCCCAGCACGCAUUUUUCGUUCCGGGGCCGGCGGGAGUUAGGACCAUUUUUUCUGUCUUACGACUCAGAGAGUCCUGCGACUACUCGGUCCUUAGUUACUUGGAGGCUGAAUGUCAUCUAGCUACUAUGUAAAAUUUCAGUUCUUACCUCACAGGAAACACUUAUCUAAAUCACGAAGAUGAACCAGUUAAUACUGUUUAGGGAAAUAACCGCUGUUUGCUGGGAGAAUCGUGCAAAACAUACACAUACAUAUACAAUCUCUGGGCAGAGUGUAGAGUUUUAGUAUGUUAAAACAGGUAGCACACUGAGCUUUAAAGGAUUAUGCGAUGAAUCGAUUUUUUAAUUAGAUAACGGAACUUUCUUGACUGGACCUAUAGGCUACGCGUAAUGUGAUGAAAGCAACGGCGAUCAGCAGAGAAAUCGCUUUUACCAGCCAUGAAAACUCUGGGUCUUAUAUACACUAUGGGGCCCAUCUAAUCGUUUCCACGAUUGGGUCGUGAGUGUUGUUUGUGGAAACGUGGUUCACUGCAUGAAAGUGAGGGUCACAGUGUAUAGUGGGUUACACUAUUUUACCAGUGAACAUGCGUUGUUUUUUUUUUAUUGCUAGUGGGUUGUACUGCGGCCACUUCUGGCUCAUUGUAACAGCCCCAGAUGACAGGCAAUGUUUCGGUAAACACCGCCUGAAAGCCGGAAUAUCAACAAACAAGCAGAAGUCCAUUUGCUAGACAAUGGCUUGCUACAACCCAUUCUCAUGUCAACAGAGAUUUAGCAAAGGUUUUCGUGCAUAUGAGGAAUCUUGUGAUCACCAGGCGUUUCUGCUACAACAGAUACAGGAAACCAAUAGAUGAACUGUUUGGUGUGGUGGAUUAUAUUAGGUCCUCUUGAACUUAUAAAAGAGAGUUUAUUUGUGAAUUCAAUUUAUUCAUCCAUAAUAGAAUUCAGAAGGCAGUUCAAUAAUUGAAUA